rnacentral:rRNA from 1 species
UACGAAGGGGGCUAGCGUUGUUCGGAAUUACUGGGCGUAAAGCGCACGUAGGCGGAUACUUAAGUUAGGGGUGAAAUCCCAGGGCUCAACCCUGGAACUGCCUUUAAUACUGGGUAUCUUGAGUUCGAGAGAGGUGAGUGGAAUUCCGAGUGUAGAGGUGAAAUUCGUAGAUAUUCGGAGGAACACCAGUGGCGAAGGCGGCUCACUGGCCCGGUACUGACGCUGAGGCACGAAAGCGUGGGGAGCAAACAGG